CCUACGGGUGGCAGCAGUGAGGAAUAUUGGUCAAUGGACGAGAGUCUGAACCAGCCAAGUCGCGUGAAGGAUGACUGCCCUAUGGGUUGUAAACUUCUUUUAUAUGGGAAUAAAACGUUCCACGUGUGGGAUUUUGUAUGUACCAUAUGAAUAAGGAUCGGCUAACUCCGUGCCAGCAGCCGCGGUAAUACGGAGGAUCCGAGCGUUAUCCGGAUUUAUUGGGUUUAAAGGGAGCGUAGGUGGAUUGUUAAGUCAGUUGUGAAAGUUUGCGGCUCAACCGUAAAAUUGCAGUUGAAACUGGCAGUCUUGAGUACAGUAGAGGUGGGCGGAAUGCGUGGUGUAGCGGUGAAAUGCUUAGAUAUCACGAAGAACUCCGAUUGCGAAGGCAGUUCACUGGACUGCAACUGACACUGAGGCUCGAAAGUGUGGGUAUCAAACAGGAUUAGAUACCCCUGUAGUC
rnacentral:rRNA from 1 species